AUAACAAUUAUGCAAGAUAGCUUGAACUUCUUGAGUGUGCAGAAGUGGCAUAAAAAUGGCAGAGGAGUUCCAGGGGGAGCAUCGAGAUAACUUUCCACGAACGCUCCACCAGAUGACCGUCUGUGAACAGAUCGCUGUGGAAUGCAAGGACGAUCGAGAAGUCUCUGCACACACAGAUAAAGAAGACAAAGGGGAACAUCUUGAUGUCUGUCACAUUCCAGGCAUUCCGUUGUAGUUUUUUUCCUGUCCCAAAUGGCAGGGUUUGAGUAGGCAAGAAGGUGCAUCCUACUGUAAAGAAGAUGUGACAUGUUUGGUUGCUACAGCUGCUCAAGCCUGGAGAGAAAUAAGGCCGCCAAAUGUCUGAAAGAUUAUUGCAAAAAAUGGUCUACUAAAAAAUGCCAACAAAACAAUUAGAUCAUGAUAGUAAAAACUUAAGUAGUUAAGAGUGAAAACACAGAUAUGCCAUCUUUCAAAACUCUCUCUCUUGAAAUAUGAAGCUUUGAAAAUCUGCAUUACAUUUUUAUAUUGAAAAUUCUUGUCAGCAGAAUAUAUCUGAAUUGUUUUUUAAAAAAUAAUAAUCUGGAAUUAAAGAAUGUAAAUAUAAAAAUGUGAAACAAACUUGCUUUAGUUGUUGCACAGUAUAUUGAGGGUAAAGUUUGGGAUGUCAUCCAUGUGACAAAAUUAGAUCAGUAGAUCAUCUUUGUGUAAUAAUAGAUAUAGCAUACAUCUUUGAAAUAUAAAUAAUUACUUUCAACAUAAUACUAGCCAGAAGCAGUAUUUCUAAUUAACAAGUGAACAAGAGAAUUCCUCCAUUAUUGCUUAUUAUCAUUGCAAAUGUUUAAAAUUGUGAUAAGCCAUUACUAUGGCAUUGCUAUAGGAAUCUGGUAACAGCUUUCCUUGACUGUAAUUAUUCAAAUUUUCAUGAACUGGAGAUUUUUACUGGCUCCAGCCCUCUAUUUUGUCUUUUAGAAGCCUAUUAAUAUUUGAAUAUAAUAAUAUAAUCUUGCAGUUCUAAUGGCAUAGGAGACUGAUUCAUCAAUCCCCUUGCUCACAAAUACAUUCUGUAAUAGUAUAAACGAUUAGUGGACAGACUUUUAGUCAACUAGUUACAGAAAGCAAUGUAAACAGGAUAAGCUACUGAAGGUAAAUCUAACAAUGCAAAAUACCUCAUUAAUAGAAAUAAAGUUAUCUGAAGU
rnacentral:lncRNA from 7 species